rnacentral:rRNA from 1 species
AGUGAACGCUGGCGGCAGGCCUAACACAUGCAAGUCGAACGGCAGCACAGAGGAGCUUGCUCCUUGGGUGGCGAGUGGCGGACGGGUGAGGAAUGCGUCGGAAUCUGCCUUUUUGUGGGGGAUAACGUAGGGAAACUUACGCUAAUACCGCAUACGACCUACGGGUGAAAGUGGGGGACCGCAAGGCCUCACGCAGAAAGAUGAGCCGACGCCGGAUUAGCUAGUUGGCGGGGUAAAGGCCCACCAAGGCGACGAUCCGUAGCUGGUCUGCGAGGAUGAUCAGCCACACUGGGACUGAGACACGGCCCAGACUCCUACGGGAGGCAGCAGUGGGGAAUAUUGGACAAUGGGCGCAAGCCUGAUCCAGCCAUGCCGCGUGUGUGAAGAAGGCCUUCGGGUUGUAAAGCACUUUCAGUGGGGAGGAAAAGCUGGUGGCUAAUAUCCAUCGGCCGUGACGCUACCCACAGAAGAAGCACCGGCUAAUUCCGUGCCAGCAGCCGCCGUAAUAC